GAUGAACGCUAGCGGCAGGCUUAACACAUGCAAGUCGAGGGGUAGAAGUUGCUUGCAAGUUUGAGACCGGCGCAUGGGUGCGUAACACGUAUGCAAUCUACCUUAUACAGAGGGAUAGCCCAGAGAAAUUUGGAUUAAUACCUCAUAGUAUAAUUGAAUGGCAUCAUUUAUUAAUUAAAGUUCAAACGGUAUAAGAUGAGCACGCGUCCUAUUAGCUAGAUGGUAAGGUAACGGCGUACCAUGGCAACGAUAGGUAGGGGUCCUGAGAGGGAGAUCCCCCACACUGGUACUGAGACACGGACCAGACUCCUACGGGAGGCAGCAGUGAGGAAUAUUGGACAAUGGGCGCAAGCCUGAUCCAGCCAUGCCGCGUGCAUGAAGAAGCAUCUAUGGUGUGUAAACUGCUUUUGUACGGGAAGAAACACCCCUUCGUGAAGGGACUUGACGGUACCGUAAGAAUAAGGAUCGGCUAACUCCGUGCCAGCCGCCGCGGUAA
rnacentral:rRNA from 1 species